CACAGAUCCACCUCUGGCUUAACCUCCGAAGUGCUGGAAUUGAAGUAAAUUCAUUGUUCAACCAAGGUCCAGAUACCUGAAUGCACAAGCACUCCAACCUCUGUCCAGGAUCCUUUUUUCCUCCCUGCUACACACUACACUUGGCCUUAACCUCUGAUUCUUGGAGUAUACAAUUUAUGACAUCUUCAAAAUGAAGUUCAAAUAUAGAUAUGCUACCUGGAACUGAACCUUGUAUGUGUGUACACGAAGAGCAAUGGAGAAAGAGAGAGAGGGAGAGAAAGAGAUGGGAGAGUGAAAGAAAUCAUGACUGCAGUGGGAAAGCUGGGGAAUAAAAUUCGUAAAUCCCAAAGAACUGAAUAUGACGUGCUGCAAUCUCUGACUAUCAGAAUUCUUCAACUCAUAAAGGCUUCAAAAGUGCUCUGGGACUUUCAUUUACUUUAACAAAAGGACAUUUAAUCACAGAA